AAAGAUGGCAAUCCACUCAGUUCCGGGCCUGCACCUCCACCACCUCCUGGCACACCUCCCAUCCAUAGAUCACCAACUCCUAAAUCCGGUAAAGGUGGAUCCAGCAGUAACAAUGGUGAUUCCAGCAGUAGUAGCAGUAAUGAUUCCAACAAAUCAGGGAUUGGAGCUGGUGGAAUAGCAGGAAUAGUCAUCUCAUUGUUAGUUGUAACAGCAGUGGUAGCUUUCUUCUUGAUCAAGAAAACAAGAUCAAAGAAGACAUCCUCCACAGACAUUGAAAGGACUGAUAACAUUAACCAACCUCCACCCUUCACACUCGCUUCAAACGACC
rnacentral:lncRNA from 1 species